rnacentral:rRNA from 1 species
AAUUCGCCCUUGGGGAUGCCGCGGGCCGCUGCAGAGUUUGAUCCUGGCUCAGGAUGAACGCUGGCGGUAUGCUUAACACAUGCAAGUCGAACGAUGUGGGGACGUAGCAAUGCUACGUCUGUGCAUAGUGGCGGACGGGUGAGUAACGCGUGAGAAUCUAGCUUCAGGUUCGGGACAACAUUGGGAAACCGAUGCUAAUACCGGAUGUGCCGAGAGGUGAAAGGCUAGCCCGCCUGAAGAAGAGCUCGCGUCUGAUUAGCUAGUUGGUGGUGUAAGGGACUACCAAGGCGACGAUCAGUAGCUGGUCUGAGAGGAUGAUCAGCCACACUGGAACUGAGACACGGUCCAGACUCCUACGGGAGGCAGCAGUGGGGAAUUUUCCGCAAUGGGCGAAAGCUGUACGGAGCAAUACCGCGUGAGGGAGGAAGGCUCUUGGGUUGUAAACCUCUUUUCUCAAGGAAGAAGUUCUGACGGUACUUGAGGAAUCAGCAUCGGCUAACUCCGUGCCAGCAGCCGCGGUAAUACGGAGGAUGCAAGCGUUAUCCGGAAUGAUUGGGCGUAAAGGGUCCCAAGCUGGUUGUGUGUGUUUAUUUUUAAAGGAA